CAGAGUCUUCCCUCGUCUCUCAAGCAGAUAAAAACUGACGUUUAACAUUUUCUGCUGCUACUCCUAUCAGUCCUUUUUACCCUUUUGUACCUAGGUUUUCCUUUUUCUACUCGUACGGUAUGGAAAAUUUUAUUUCAAAUGGAAAAUAAAACCAGGAAACCAGUUAGCUACCUAUGGAACGAUAAACUGUGACAUUAGUCACCAAAAGUGAUGUCAUCGAUGUACAUUUUUUCAAAAUCUUACAGUAGAUUAGAGUCAACUAAGUAUAUAGAACAAAAGUUCCAAGAAAAAGCUUUAGUACCUACAACCGAGUUUUUUUUUAUCAUGAAUACUUGUAUAGCAAAAAACAUGGAAUCUUAUCGUUUUGAGAGGGGUUCAUCCUUGCUACUCGAAAGUGGUGACUCGAUGUGGUAUCAGGAAACAUGACUAUAUAAAAGGAAAUUUUUGUUUUAUAGUUCAUUUAAAGUGUAUUUAAGUCCGAUAGACGAACGUUACGGUAAAAUUUAUUAUUCAAAAUGUUUAAUUUGAAAGUUCUCAUCUUUAUUGUCGCCUUGAGCGCUGCAUUUGCCACUAUUGCUGAAGCUCAUGGACCAGUCUCCGGCUUCGUUAUAUUCCUUUUGAAAAUAGUAUGCAAACUUGUCGAAAAAAUUCCUUUCGCUGGACCAAUCGCACAAUUUGUCUUAUCUGUUGUGACAUUUUUCCUUUAUAAAUUUAGCCCGUUUUAAUGGAAAUAAAAAUCAAAAUGCUGCCUGACUGCAAGCCACAGUAAAAAUUUAUCAUAUAUUAUCAUUAGGUUUCGUUGCAUCAUUCGAUUCAAAAUACCUAGAUACUACAUAGUACAUCUACAUAUGUAGGUAAUAGGUAUAUUUCAUAAUAUAUUUCAGGUGGAAGGGACAGCAGGCUAUUAGAAGCAGGAUAAGUAGAUAAUAGUAAGAGGGGCUCGUAUUUAACCGUAUUAAUUAUAAUUCAUAAACUACAUUUAUGUAUGUAUAAGUAUAUUGUACAUAUAUGUAAUUAAGAGACAUCAAAUAAAUACAUUCCAGUAGAUAAACAAA